ACGACUGUGGCUUAAAGGAAAAAGCGUUUGGUUACGAACCAAAAAUAGAGCGGGUUCGAAUCCCGCCAGUCGUC
rnacentral:tRNA from 1 species